UACGGGGGGGGCAAGCGUUGUUCGGAAUUACUGGGCGUAAAGGGCUCGUAGGCGGCCAACUAAGUCAGACGUGAAAUCCCUCGGCUUAACCGGGGAACUGCGUCUGAUACUGGAUGGCUCGAGUUUGGGAGAGGGAUGCGGAAUUCCAGGUGUAGCGGUGAAAUGCGUAGAUAUCUGGAGGAACACCGGUGGCGAAGGCGGCGCUCUGGACCGAGACUGACGCUGAGGCGCGAAAGCGUGGGGAGCAAACAGG
rnacentral:rRNA from 1 species